AUUGAACGCUGGCGGCAGGCCUAACACAUGCAAGUCGAGCGGAUGACGGGAGCUUGCUCCUGGAUUCAGCGGCGGACGGGUGAGUAAUGCCUAGGAAUCUGCCUGGUAGUGGGGGACAACGUUUCGAAAGGAACGCUAAUACCGCAUACGUCCUACGGGAGAAAGCAGGGGACCUUCGGGCCUUGCGCUAUCAGAUGAGCCUAGGUCGGAUUAGCUAGUUGGUGAGGUAAUGGCUCACCAAGGCGACGAUCCGUAACUGGUCUGAGAGGAUGAUCAGUCACACUGGAAAUGAGACACGGUCCAGACUCCUACGGGAGGCAGCAGUGGGGAAUAUUGGACAAUGGGCGAAAGCCUGAUCCAGCCAUGCCGCGUGUGUGAAGAAGGUCUUCGGAUUGUAAAGCACUUUAAGUUGGGAGGAAGGGUUGUAGAUUAAUACUCUGCAAUUUUGACGUUACCGACAGAAUAAGCACCGGCUAACUCUGUGCCAGCCGCCGCUGUAAUAC
rnacentral:rRNA from 1 species